rfam:Gossypium hirsutum cultivar TM-1 chromosome 24, whole genome shotgun sequence
CACGUCAGCGCGCUUUGCUGACGUGGCAACAAAUCGCUUCCACGAAAGCGCGAUUUGUGUCCACAUCAACAAAGCGCGCUGAUGUGG